rnacentral:rRNA from 1 species
ACCCGCACAAGCGGUGGAUGAUGUGGAUUAAUUCGAUGCAACGCGAAGAACCUUACCUACCCUUGACAUGUCCGGAACUUGCCAGAGAUGGCUUGGUGCCCGAAAGGGAAUCGGAACACAGGUGCUGCAUGGCUGUCGUCAGCUCGUGUCGUGAGAUGUUGGGUUAAGUCCCGCAACGAGCGCAACCCUUAUCAUUAGUUGCUACGCAAGGGCACUCUAAUGAGACUGCCGGUGACAAACCGGAGGAAGGUGGGGAUGACGUCAAGUCCUCAUGGCCCUUAUGGGUAGGGCUUCACACGUCAUACAAUGGUCGGUACAGAGGGUUGCCAAGCCGCGAGGCGGAGCCAAUCCCAUAAAGCCAUUCGUAGUCCGGAUCGCAGUCUGCAACUCGACUGCGUGAAGUCGGAAUCGCUAGUAAUCGUGGAUCAGAAUGUCACGGUGAAUACGUUCCCGGGUCUU